rnacentral:rRNA from 1 species
UACAGGGGGUGCAAACGUUGCUCGGAAUCAUUGGGCGUAAAGCGCACGUAGGCGGUUCGUUAUGUCGGAUGUGAAAGCCCUUGGCUUAACCGAGGAAGUGCAUCCGAAACUGGCGAGCUAGAGUACUAAAGAGGAUCGCGGAAUUCCCGGUGUAGAGGUGAAAUUCGUAGAUAUUUGGAGGAAUACCUGUGGCGAAGGCGGCCUUCUGGACCGGUCCUGACGCUGAGACGCGAAAGCGUGGGGAGCAACAGG